GAGAGGUUUCGUAGUGUGUGAGGCUCAGCCUCUGAGCGGCGGGCAUUCAUUUCACACUCGCAUUUGUCCCUAACACGGGAGCCCCCACACAGCCCUGCUUGGUGCUUCCAUGGUAUGAACCCCCGCUACCAACACGGUGCUGAUCCCAGAGACAUCCAGACACCCGACAGUCACCGCUGACCUUUGAGGUUUCCUGCCACUGGAUGCAACUGAAACAAAAGAUAAGCAGACAAUCCUAGAAGCUUUUGGAGACUGAAAAAGUCACACCAUGAGGAUCGAGAAUCAGAAUGGCAUCGGACUGCUUAACAUCAACCUAGAACACCACAUGCCAAUAGAGAACUGCCUUCAGAACUCUGAGGGGAGAUGAUUUCCAACUGAGAUUUAUACCUCCAGCCAAACUGUCAAUCAAUUAUCCAAAAACUGAACUCCCAUAUGCAGCCUCCAAGGAAGCUACUGGCGUGUAUAUUACAACAAAAUGAAGGGAGUAAAGCAAGAAAGAAGAUGACUUAGUAUCUAAGAAACAAGGCACCGACACAGGACAGAGGGAAAGGGAAUUCCCAGUGUAACGUUGAAGAGAAAUUUCACAACUUCUACUACAAUGGCCAGGAGAGCAACUGAUCCAGGUAGAAGCAGGAGGGCUCAAAGAAAAAAAACAGAACUGAUAGGUUGCCAGAUGUGUUUGACUAUAUUACGAGAAAUUUUAGAGUUUUAUUGUCACGGUUUGUGGGAAGAAUUAGUAAUCUUACAUCAAAAACUAAUUAAAUUUAAAAACUGAGGUACUUACUAACUCCAGGGAAAACAAAAAGCUGUACAAGACUGCAACUGUAACCAUAAUAUAGUCCCUUGUUUAGCUGUGAAUAAUCUAUAUGUAGAUAUGAUACGGUAACAACUGAGUGUUGAUUUAGCAACUGUGAUAGGACUAUCUUGGAAGAAAAAGUGUGUGUUUGUGGAUGGUGGCUGGUGGAGAACCAGCAAUCUUCCACAGGAGGAAGCCAAUACAUAAUAUUUGAAAAAUACAUCUAGAGAACGAUAUUUAGAAAUAUGAAAGGAAAUGUCAGAAG
rnacentral:lncRNA from 1 species